GCAGACGGUAAAGUGUCUGCCUGCAAUGCAGGAGACCCAGGUUCAAUUCCUGG
rnacentral:tRNA from 1 species